UACGUAGGUGGCAAGCGUUGUCCGGAUUUACUGGGCGUAAAGAGCGCGCAGGCGGUCGUUCAAGUCGCGUGUGAAAGCCCCCGGCUCAACUGGGGAGGGUCACUCGAUACUGAUCGACUCGAAGGCAGGAGAGGGUAGUGGAAUUCCCGGUGUAGUGGUGAAAUGCGUAGAGAUCGGCAGGAACACCAGUGGCGAAGGCGGCCACCUAGCCCGCACCUGACGCUGAGGCGCGACAGCGUGGGGAGCGAACUGG
rnacentral:rRNA from 1 species